GUUGUGGUGCACGUGUGUGUCGCAUUCUGCGGACAGCAUGAAACAAGACCGCCCAAGCCGUACGCAGCAUCUGAUUCCAUCGGCUCAGCAGGUCCUUGGUGGUGCGCUGGGUGGCUGAGUGCUAGCAGACUCGGAGGAAGCUGAGGAUGGUGGAUGACAACUCCCCUGUAAGAGUUUCAUCCCUGACCACAGGAAGGCAGUAAGGGAGUGGUGAAUGAUCAUAACAUGGACUGGGAUGCCUGAAGGAGUCGAGUAACGCGGGAGCUGGUGCGCGGGAGGAGUGGCAGCUGUCACAUCUUAACGCGGUCACGGUCAGGGGAUGUUCCUUCAGAGUGUGGAGUGUCAAACUUAAUUUUCUGCGUGAAAGUAUUUUUGUAUCCCACGACGUUUGUGAGUGAUGGUGUCAGCCUCGCCUAGCAGUCCCCGCACCCCGAGCUGUCAUCCGCGCAUCAUCCCAUACGCUGCUUCUUCACAAAGGGAAUACUUAUCUUCCACAUUUGAAUAAUCGUGUCUGUUUUCGUUUUGUUAAUGCCGAGUCAGUAGGGAGCUUGGAAAGAUUAAAUUUAUAAGGAUGAUAAGUGAUGCGUGUAUGUUUCUUUACACAGGGAAUGUCACGUUUAGGCCUGCAGACUUUGUGCCGCUUCCCUUACGUUCUCAUGCUGUAUGUUAUGUAUCUUUUUUUCAAGUCCUUUCUUUAAAUUUUUGUAGUGGAAAUGUGGGGAGACUUUUCUACUUUUGUGCC